UAGAUGUUGAAUCAGUCUGACGGAGAAGUCACUGGUUUGACACAAAGUCAUUCCAGUCCCACAGCCAUAGAGUAAGACAGGGAGCACAAGGGACUUGAAGAUCCGGAUCCCUUCUUCACAGGUAACGACCACGUCAUAUACUCGUAGGCUACUGAGUGAGUCCAUGACACCGUGGGCCAAGUCAAUCCGCAGCAAGACUUCCUGGCGAGACUCACCACCACCACCACCACCAACAACAACCGCAACAACAACAUAUACAUCCAUAGUCUGGCUUAACUGAAUCAACAAUCAAAUUACAUGUAGUACUUUGACCCCGGGAUCGCAAGGCAGCAUGAUCAGCCCGAUGUGACGCGCGCGAGUCAAGAUAAACUCAAGUGCCAGAGAAACGGAGGCGAGCACCGAGGCCACGCGUAGCUAUAGCGUGUGUCCCACAACUUUACCAUUGUACAUAUAAUUACUUAGCCAUUGUAUCUCUUUACAUAUUCAUAGUAAUGGGGCUUAGAAAAGGUGUGGCAAGACUAUGACAUUCGAUUUCUUCUGAAGGCAAGCCGUGGACUUCCUCCGGCAUCCUGCUCCAGCGUGCCCAUGCAGGACCUAGCGGAGGAUCGGGGCGCCAGGAAUCUUUACCAUUUUUCAUCUAGCUCUGCAAGGAAUGGUUUCUGCCUUGCAGCCAGCAGUCCAGUAUCAGGAGCAGACUCCCAGAUAAUCUUCUGCAGCUGUUUGAAGGACGGGUGAUUCGAGCCGCCGGCCAGGCCAAGGAUGAUGGACUCGCUGGUGGUCAGAAACGCUCCACUGUCUCUCAUCCUCUCUAAGGCAUACAUUCUGGGGAAGCCACAUUGUUGACUGCCAUUAAGAGGAAAAGAGUUGGCCAUGAAGGUACCAGCCCCAUUUGGCUCUGGUGACCCCUCAGGUGAGAGUUAACCUGUCCAUCAUGGAGGUACUAGGGAGCCCAAUUUGGCUCUGGUUACCUGUCUCUCAUGGAGCUUGAGGAGCAGCUGUCCACCACCACAU